GAUUGAUCGCUAAGUCAGCUACCU
rnacentral:siRNA from 1 species